rnacentral:rRNA from 1 species
AUUGAACGCUGGCGGCAGGCCUAACACAUGCAAGUCGAGCGGUAGAGAGGAGCUUGCUUCUCUUGAGAGCGGCGGACGGGUGAGUAAUGCCUAGGAAUCUGCCUGGUAGUGGGGGAUAACGUUCGGAAACGGACGCUAAUACCGCAUACGUCCUACGGGAGAAAGUGGGGGAUCUUCGGACCUCACGCUAUCAGAUGAGCCUAGGUCGGAUUAGCUAGUUGGUGAGGUAAAGGCUCACCAAGGCGACAAUCCGUAACUGGUCUGAGAGGAUGAUCAGUCACACUGGAACUGAGACACGGUCCAGACUCAUACGGGAGGCAGCAGUGGGGAAUAUUGGACAAUGGGCGCAAGCCUGAUCCAGCCAUGCCGCGUGUGUGAAGAAGGUCUUCGGAUUGUAAAGCACUUUAAGUUGGGAGGAAGGUCAGUAGCUUAAUACGUUGCUGAUUUGACGUUACCGACAGAAUAAGCACCGGCUAACUCUGUGCCAGCCGCCGCAGUAAGAC